CUGGCGGGUGAGCUGUGAAGUAUCUAUCAGUAGGCCCAAAACCUCUAACGUACAAUAACAAAAACAUUGAAAUGUUAACAGAAAUUCGGUUGGUUUUAUUUAUCGACUGCUUAACUUCCAUGACGGGAUUGAAUUUUGAUUACUAGUAUUUGGGAAGAUGAACAAGAAAGGCCUCGCCAUUUUAAUGCGUACUAAAAUGCGGCCUCUCCCCCCAGCGGCUAUUAAGAGAGUCAAUCAAAUGGAAGUUCCUCCUCAAGAAAAUUCUAACGUGGUUUCUUCUACUCCUAAUGCCUCCAUUAAUCCCCCAAGGGACUUCGAGCAAGUAAGAGACUCUAUGCACUCUGCUAUAUUAAUGAAUAAGACUGAGAUUUUAGAUGCUGCCCUCAGUGAAUUCUGUGAGGGUUACUUUAGCCUUUCCAAGGAAAAUCGACGGAAAUUAGUUCUCACACUUGCCAGAGAGUAUGAUCUUGACAGAAUACAAGUUAGGGAGCUGAUGAAGCAAUAUCUUGGUCUUGAGCUUCCUAUUGGUGAAAAAGCUCAGCAUAGUAGUGGGCAACAAGAGGAAUUGUCACUUUCAGCAUUUUAUAGAAUUGAGCGGAACUUGAGGCAUGCCCUCAAGCCAAAUUAUGAAGUACUGUUUGAGCGGCUUAAUACUCAUCCUGGAGGGUUGAAGUUCUUGUCCGACAUUCGAGCUGAUAUUCUAUCUUUUCUCGCCGAGGAAAAUUUUCCAUCCUUGCGGGCACUUGAUUCUUACUUGAAAGAGAAGCUUGGUACAUGGCUUAGUCCUGCGAAUCUAGAGCUUCAUAAUAUCACAUGGGAUGAUCCUGCUUCUUUGUUGGAGAAGAUUGUAGCUUAUGAGGCAGUGCAUCCAAUCAGCAGUCUUUUGGACCUGAAAAGAAGGCUGGGGGUAGGCCGCCGCUGUUUCGGAUAUUUACAUCCAGCAAUACCUGGUGAACCCCUCAUAUUCAUAGAAGUUGCAUUAAUGAAGGAUGUGGCCGAGACGAUUCAGGAAGUUCUAUGGGACGAUCCUCCAAUACCUGAAUGUGAAGCAACCUGUGCACUCUUUUACUCUAUAUCAUCUACCCAGCCUGGCUUAUCCGGAAUCAACCUUGGGAAAUUCCUUAUUAAACGUGUAAUUGAUGUUGUGAAGAAGGAUAUGCCGAUUAUAUCUACCUUUGCUACUCUUAGUCCUAUUCCAGGCUACAUGCAGUGGCUUCUAUCAAAAUUGGCAUCAGCAGAGAUAUCUGGUCCUACCUUUAGAGAGAACUUGCUUAAACAAGAAGAAGAGGGGGCACUUGUAGAUGCAGCAGUAGAAUUCAGUUCCAGCAAAAACGGAAUGGAAGUGAUGAAGUACUUGUUGACAUCAACCAAUUAUGAGUGGACAAAGUCAGCUAAGAUAAUUUCGGUUCUAAGACCUCCAAUGAUGCGACUUUGUGCUCGGUACCUUCUGCAAGAGAAGAAGAGGGGGAAAGCUCUAGAUUCUGUGGCAAACUUCCACUUGCAGAAUGGAGCGAUGAUCGGAAGGCUGAAUUGGAUGGCUGAUCGAUCUGAAAAAGGCCUUACUCAGAGUGGAGGGAUUAUGGUCAACUACAUAUAUAGGGUGGAGAACAUUGAAGAAAAUGCUCAGUCAUAUUACAGCAAAGGGCAUAUCCACGCUACCUCAGAUGUCUCUUGCUUUGUUGAGGAUCAUGAACAAACUAGAGAUUAGGAAGCUGUUGCAGGAGUGGUGUGAAAUUUAAUGUUCUACCCUUGUAGUACAGGCUGAGUGAAAUGUAAGUACAUAUAUACCUAGAUUUUUAUGCCUUGGUGAUUCCCGCAUUAAGUUGGCGCAAAACUUAUCCCCAUCAUUCACUGAGUGUCUGCCCAAGAAUUCCAUCAACUCCUCGUAUGCCUCGGGGUUGUAGCUCUGCUCUGUCAAGUGACUGUUAAAAAACAAGAAAAUGGCAUAGAUAUAUUUUUAUGGAUGUAUGUCUAUACCCUAAUCUGUAGCUUCAUUAGAUACAGUGAGCUUCAAAGUUCUGUACUGAUUUGAUGUAGCCAACCGUCUGAUACUAUACUCAAUAGAACAAUAAAAGUGGAGAUAAUGAUUCUGUGAAAAGAAGAGAACCUGCAACUGAGCAGUGACAAUUCGAACAGCAAUGUAUGUGAAGAAAUUAUGGAGGUGCUUCGCUGCUUUUGCUUCUGGUGAUCCUUCUCCGAACCCUGCACCACUCUUCUUUAAUAUUCACAGGCAGAUCCAUAGGUACACUUGCUAGAAACUUUUACAAGAGGGUGACUACCCACCUGGAACAUACAUCUUUUGACAAUGGAAGCGAGUUGGCUGAGAAGUUCUUUGCUUCCAUGGCCUGAAGGGACAGGCUCUGGUUUCCCUGCAAGCUUGUGUUGGAGAAACUGCGAGCCUUGAGAGGGGGACGGUGGCGAAGGAUUCCAUAAUAUGGCUCAUCUUAACUGUACUGUGUAAUCUGUGGCAACUGCCAGUGAGAAUUGAAGGAAAAGAGCAGAAGUAGAUGUUUUUGUCCAAUGACUAGCAAGCGGCAAGACACCUUGAGAAGCCUUUAGUGAAGAGAUAAUAAUAAUAUCUUUACUUCCAUGUUGAAAUAUCUUCAGGUAUAUGUGGCAAGAAGCCUGAAAUUUUGUCAUGGAUCAUUUGUCCAUCUUUAAGGGUGGAUCCCACCCAUUCUAUUGUCUCUUUUAUACGUAUGUGUAUGCAUCUGGCCCUCGUAUUAUUGAAUAACCAAGUCUGGAAUAUUCC